rnacentral:rRNA from 1 species
CCUAACGGCUGAACCAGCUAUUUGGUGGAAUGUAAUCGUUUAACGACGUGCAUGUUCACAAUUUUGUGACAUGUGGCAACUCUGUUGCAUAAAAUUCUGGGUAGAUGAUUGAUGAUGACAAAUAUCUACUCACAUAUCUUGACCAAUGCUUGUGCCAGCAGUCGCGGCAACACAAGUAAGAUUAGUGUUAUUCAUCUUUAUUAGGUUUAAAGGGUACCUAGACGGCAAAAGCAACUUCUAAAAAGUAUAUCUUUGCUAGAGUUUUAUGUGAGAGGUAAAUAUUAGGACUAUUGGUGUAGGGAUGAAAUCCCUUGAUACUAAUAGAAUGUGUAACGGCGAAGACAACCCUCUAUGUAUAAACUGACGUUGAGGGACGAAGGCUUGGGGAGCAAACAGGAUUAGAUACCCUAGUAGUCCAGGCAGAAAAUCAUGAAUGUUAUAUGUUAGAUUAAAAUUGAUGUAUAAAUGAAAGUGUAAGCAUUCCACCUCAAGAGUAAUGCGGCAACGCAGGAACUGAAAUCAUUAGACCGUUUCUGAAACCAGUAGUGAAGUAUGUUUUUUAAUUCGAUAACCCUCGAAAAACCUUACCACAACUUGAAUGGUAUCUAAAUAACUAUUGUUUUAAAUAUUAAUAGUUACUUAGAUAUAACAAGCGUUGCACGGCUGUCUAAAGCUAAUGUCGUGAGAUUUUGGUUAGAUCCAUUAAAUUAGCGUGAUCCCUUGCUUUAUUUACUUAUAAUAAGGAUAGUGCUUGGUUGCAUUAGUAACUGGGAUAAUAGGGAAGAAGACAAGUCAUCAUGGCCUU